rnacentral:rRNA from 1 species
AUUGAACGCUGGCGGCAUGCUUUACACAUGCAAGUCGAACGAGUGGCGAACGGGUGAGUAAUAUAACGGAACGUACCGAGUAAUGGGGGAUAACCAAUCGAAAGAUUGGCUAAUACCGCAUCUUAUUCGAGCGGCCGCUAACUGAUUAGUUAGUUGGUGGGGUAAAGGCCUACAACGGCGACGAUCAGUAGCGGGUCGUGAAGGAUGAGCCGCCACACGUGGACUAGGACACGGCCCAGACUCCUACGGGAGGCAGCAGUGGGGAAUUUUGGACAAUUGGUGCAACCCUGAUCCAGCCAUGCCGCGUGUAUGAAGAAGGCCUUCGGGUUGUAAAGUACUUUUGGUAGGGAAGCGGUACCUAAAGAAUAAGCACCGGCUAACUACGUGCCAGCAGCCGCGGUAAUAC